GCGCGUGUAGCUCAGGUGGCUAGAGCGCAACAUUGACAUUGUUGAGGCCCCAGGUUCGAGUCCUGGCAUGCGCA
rnacentral:tRNA from 2 species